UUUAGAGGAAGGAGAAGUCGUAACAAGGUUUCCGUAGGUGAACCUGCGGAAGGAUCAUUGUCGAACCUGCCUAGCAGAACGACCAGCGAACUUGUAAAAAUGCUCGGGGUGACGGAAGGCGUGAGCCUCUCCUUCAUCCCAUGUCCGGUCGCGCCAGACGUUGAGUCGCCCCUCGCACGAUGUGCAGGGACGCGCCAUCGUUCUGGUGUGCUCUCGGAUUUACAACAAACCCCGGCGCAAACCGCGCCAAGGAACUAAAACGAAAGAGCRUGCCCCCGUUGCCCCGACUUUGGGAUGCGCGGGAGGUAAUGUCUUCUUUUACAUAUCAAAACGACUCUCGGCAACGGAUAUCUCGGCUCUCGCAUCGAUGAAGAACGUAGCGAAAUGCGAUACUUGGUGUGAAUUGCAGAAUCCCGUGAAUCACCGAGUCUUUGAACGCAAGUUGCGCCCAAAGCCUUUAGGCUGAGGGCACGUCUGCCUGGGCGUCACGUAUCCCGUCGCACCCCCAACCCGUCCCAACGCGGGCACGAUGGCUGGUGGGAGCGGAUAUUGGCCUCCCGUGUACUCGCGUCACGGUUGGUCUAAAAUCGAGCCCCGAGCGACGAACGUCACGACAAGUGGUGGUCUGUAAUAGCUAUUUCGUGUUGUGCGUUGUCUCGUCGCCCGUGUGAGCUCACAAAGACCCCAAAGCAUCGUCACGAUGAUGCAUCCACCGCGACCCCAGGUCAGGCGGGACUACCCGCUGA
rnacentral:rRNA from 1 species